rnacentral:lncRNA from 1 species
UGAAUUCAUGGCUGAUAGAGUCAAUUGGUACUGAGAUCCUCAAAUUUACACAUAACAUAAACUCUUUUUUCUGAUCGAACAUGUACCCUUUCUGUAAUGCAUACUAUUAUUCAUGUGAAUACACAUCCAAGUUAAUGAUAGCACUGACUUUGUUUUUCCCUCCUGCUUACUGAAGCUAAGGCUGAGCUGCAGCUUACUGAACCUGAUGAAAACGAAGCCACUCCGGGACAGCUGCAGUGUUGUGCCUAUUUGAGAUUCAUGGGGUUAAGGACGAUCUGUGAGGAGGAAAAGACUCUGAGCAAUGAGUAGCAGCUAGCAACACUCAACUGUAGCAGAACCAUUUGUAGCUUCGGUGUAAAACGAGUAAAUAGCAUAAAGCUACUACUUUACGGGUUAGGGUUCCAAAAAACUACCAAAUUUAUUUUUUUCGCUGAUAACUACCAACUCAGGAGUUGGCUGUUUCAAAAAACCCCAAAUUCUCUUUGUUAAAAAAUUAAACAUGUUUAUGACAGGUCGAGCCCGCCACUAAACGCAUCAUUUGGUUGACCGUUUGUUUGACCGUUAACUGACAUGUGGGGGCCACAUGCCAGUGUCUGAAAAAGCAAUCGGGUCCCUGAAAAUUUUCUAAAAAAGCAAUCAGGUCCCUGGAAGUUUUCAAAAAAAGCAAUCAGGUCCUCCGGCGCACCUGCCAUGGCCG